GGUGUGACUGCGUACCUUUUGUAUAAUGGGUCAGCGACUUAUAUUCUGUAGCAAGGUUAACCGUAUAGGGGAGCCGCAGGGAAACCGAGUCUUAACUGGGCGUUAAGUUGCAGGGUAUAGACCCGAAACCCGGUGAUCUAGCCAUGGGCAGGUUGAAGGUUGGGUAACACUAACUGGAGGACCGAACCGACUAAUGUUGAAAAAUUAGCGGAUGACUUGUGGCUGGGGGUGAAAGGCCAAUCAAACCGGGAGAUAGCUGGUUCUCCCCGAAAGCUAUUUAGGUAGCGCCUCGUGAAUUCAUCUUCGGGGGUAGAGCACUGUUUCGGCUAGGGGGUCAUCCCGACUUACCAACCCGAUGCAAACUACGAAUACCGAAGAAUGUUAUCACGGGAGACACACGGCGGGUGCUAACGUCCGUCGUGAAGAGGGAAACAACCCAGACCGCCAGCUAAGGUCCCAAAGUCACAGUUAAGUGGGAAACGAUGUGGGAAGGCACAGACAGCCAGGAUGUUGGCUUAGAAGCAGCCAUCAUUUAAAGAAAGCGUAAUAGCUCACUGGUCGAGUCGGCCUGCGCGGAAGAUGUAACGGGGCUAAACUGUGCACCGAAGCUGCGGCA
rnacentral:rRNA from 1 species